GUUUAGACUUUGAAAUGAGAUGGGAAGCUGAGCUUACAGCACUGCACAGACGGCUCAGCCCUCAUCAGAAGCCUUUGUGUGCCGCAGCUCAGAGUUUGCUUGAAUAACCACAGGAUGUUACAGAACCCGG
rnacentral:lncRNA from 14 species